rnacentral:lncRNA from 1 species
CUUCAAAUUGAGAAGGAAUAAAGAUUAAAUUGGAAGACAAAAAUGCAACCAAGAAUUAAUGGAAGUCAAGAAGACCAAAAUUGGAAGUCAAUCUCUUCAAAGGAUGAACGGUGGGCAUGCAUUUGGAAAGCAAAGAUUUGGCAAUUUGGAAUGCAUGUGCUGGGCAUUAAAAGAAGAAAUCAUUAAUUGGCCUUUUGCUUUUGUGGUCAAACGUGUGCUUUGCUUUCAAAGUUUAGUAAGGAAAUAAUUUUAAAAGGCCUUGGUGAGUGGGCUUUAUAAGUCGGUGGAGAAGAAUUAAUGCAAUUAGAAUCCAAUAAGGAUUAAGCAAGUCAGUAACAUUAUAUAAAGGCAAGAGGGCCACGGGAGGNN